rnacentral:rRNA from 2 species
UUGAAGCAUUAUCCUAUACGGUGGAUCACUCGGCUCGUGGAUCGAUGAAGGACGCAGCAAACUGCGCGUCGAAGUGUGAACUGCAGGACACAUGAACAUCGACGUUUCGAACGCACAUUGCGGCCCACGGAAUCCCAUUCCCGGGCCACGCCUGGCUGAGGGCCGGC